AUGAUCUACAAUCACUUUAGGGCUUCAUUGCAAGAACAGACUACAGAGAAGGCAUCGAGCAGCUGUUGGUCCCCUGAUGGUUGGGGCACUGCAGUGCAUCCCCCUCCCACCCAGACAGCUUCGGGUCCAUCUGACUUUGGAAUUGCCCAUGGGUUCUCCUUUCUGCCAAACAUUUGCAGAGGGAAAGGGAAAAUAAGGAAAAGAGAGGAAAACACUUAUAGCUGCCAAUCUGUUGCUCGCAAAGCCAUGAAAAGCAUCCUGAGAGAGACGAGCACAUGUUGUAAGAAAGGAAAAGGACUCUGUGCAUCAUCGGCGCCGAAGAGCCUUCCCCCUGCCACUUGUCUCCAGGCUGCUGGGCCUGGAGGAGGGCUGAGAUGCCCGACUGCUCCCUCCUCUCAGCCUUACCAGGCCAUAAAGCCAGUGGAGGUGGCCUCAUGCCAGGAUGUUUGCGUGUAAACACUUCAGCUCACUGCUGGCUCUCAGCAGAGCAGGGAUCUGCCCUCCAAAAAUGCACCAGUGAGGAGCACCCGGAUGGUGACCCCAAAGCUGGACACGGGAGUUCUGUUCCUUAUAAGCCACGAUAUGUCACAACAGAGGUGCCACACACAUGAGCACUUUUCCCUCCUGUGUCCCUUGAGCAGCUCAGGACCACCGUGACUUUCAAAGAGCUGAAUAUAUCAGGAGGGGGGUUGGCUCAUCCUUGGCUCCGAUGAUUGUUCCCAAUGCAGGCAAUAGAUCACUUCUUGGAAAGGAAGGGUAAAUCUGGUCUCCAAAAAGUGUUCAAUGCAAGAAAACAUUCAACACAGUGACAAAACACGGAUAUCUCACGUGGAGAGAGCUCAGUGCCAAUUGGUGGCUGUCAUGGUCAUGGUCAUGGCUAUGGUUAUGGUUAUGGUUAGCUGCAAUUUUGAGCUUCACAGAAAGCAAGCUCUCAAGCAUUUUGCCAGUGGACUGGCCACGUAACUGGCAACUGAAGUAAGCAAAAGCUGCAAGUUGUGCUGUCGGUGUGAAAACAUUUCCAUUUUCAACAGAUCUAUUUUGAAUUUUCAUCCCAAAGUGAAAACAUCUCUAUUUGUUCAACAUUUGUUGUUGGUCUGUUUUUUGGGUACGUCUUUUUUUUUUUUUAAUAACAGUGACAACAUUUCUCAAGUGGGAAAAAACAACAUAGUUUAGCUUAAAAAAAGACCAAUUCUCUGCCAGAAGCAUCGAUGGAAAUGUUUCAAAUAGGCCUCUGAUGAAGUAAUCUGAACAUAUGCCAUCAGACCCAAGAUCUGAACUUAUCUAAUAGCCCUUGUUGGACUGGUUUCCUGGGGAAAUGAGGCUGUAAAAUCACACCUUCUCUGUGACUAUUUGUCACCUUUCCACCCUGAAACUUUGGCACACCUGGGCAGAUUUCAAGCACAGAUGGGAUGAAAUCUUGAAGAUAAUUGGCUUGUGACAAAGUUCUCAAAAAUCACAGUCCAGAUUCAGUUCUAUUGGCUUUUCUAACUGGGAAAAAAAAUAAAAUAAAAAAGAAAAGGUGAUAAGUAGCA
rnacentral:lncRNA from 1 species